UAUACAAAAUAUUUCACUUGAAAAGGUUUGUUUUUCGUUGUUGCAUUUUUAGUUCAUAAUUUUGACUAAAAUUUAGGUUGACCAUGCAAAGACCGAACUGACAGAAAUAGAUAGAACAAAAGAGGUAGAAAAGGAAACAGAAAUAAACGACGAAGAAUUAAUUACUGAAGAAUUAAGAACUGUUAAUUGUAAUUAACAUUCUACCAAAAAAGGCCUAUGUCCCGGAAAAACAAAUGCUUAAAGAAACGAAAGCUGCUUUACAUAGAAACCUAAAUAUUUGUAUUUAGAUUUGAUUUAUUUUAUUUUUACUGCUGCACUUAUAUGAAUAUUACUUAUAUGAAUAAAAAUUUUAAUUUUUUUGCUUAAAAAUCGACAAAUAUUAUUUUUUAAUCAUUGAAUUGCAGGAUUAGUUUUAUAGAAGCUGAGUACUGAGAAGCUAAACAAGCCGAGUACACUUUAAAAUGUCGUAAAAUUUAAAUGUCAUAAAUUACAUAAAUUACAAGCUAAUUUGUAAAUUACAUGAAAUGUUACCAGUAAAAUUACAUUUUCAUAAAUUACAAGUAAUUUAACAUCACUAGUUGAGUGCUGCCAGAAGUAAUAUGAGAUAUCACGUAAUUUUUAGUUUUUCUAAUUAAAUAUUUUGAUUACUUGUUAGUUUUAAUUACAGUUAGCCCUUAAUAAUUACUAUUUAUAAUCAUUUUGUCUAAAUGUUUCUACUGAUGUUACACUGUACUCAAAUCCGAAUUACGGCUAGCUAUUAAUUGAGCGACUUUUAACUCUAUUCUUUGUAUAUAAAGCCAAUUUAGAGUUGACUUUUUAUCUAACAUGACGAUUACUCAGACUUGGUUUUUAAUUAACUAAAUAUUGAGUGCAAAAAUAAAUCACUCAUAAAUGAUUAAUUAGGAUAUACAGUGUUGAAAUUAAUUCACUACGCGCCCUUCGCGGGGCGUCUUUCUGUUCUGGCUGAGGCUGAGACUCGUCAGCUGAGACCCGCCGCCGCCGGAUAAGGACUGUUCUCCUAGCGAUCACGCUUUUCUGGAGCAUCUAACGGACACUUAUCAACUAUGGUCGAGAUUACAGCAGCAAUAAUGUUCUGCAAGCGACUGCAUCCACUGGGCACAACCUUCUUCGAGAGGCGCCUCUUCUGGCAAAACAACAGCGAUAAGGAUGCAGUUUGUUGUCAAUAAUAAGUGUAGGUACCAAAGAGAAAAAACUUUAAAUUAAAGAAAACUUAAGACAAAUUUAUUAAUCAAUUUUUGGGGUUAUG